UAAUCAUAGGCAAUUUUUCCACGAUAUCGUCAAAUUUUCCGGGUAGGUUUUCUGCUACAUAAGCUAUCUCAUCAAUCUUAUCAAACAAUCUGGAUGACGGUGGAAACAACUUUUCUAUCACAAUUUCUGACGCAAUGUCGAUUAUAGCAAAUAUGGAAGCUACACAAGUGUAUAAUGGACGGCGUCUUGGCAUUUUUCUGCUUGCUGAAUUUGAUCCCUGAAAUUUUGAAAUUAAAAGAGGUUUUAAGUGAUUUUGGACAUGGCUAAAUUGAGAAUAAAAGAAUGAAAUAGCCAAGAUUUGUGAAAAGAGAUGCAUAUCACAGUAUGUACCUUGGACGCAAGUGUAUAAUGGACAAUUCUUUCAGCAAUCCUCCAAACAAAAUUGAGAAUUUUCAUGGUUACACGUUACUUUUGUGUUUUUUUUUUUUUUUUUUUUUUUUUUUUUUGGUGAAUUAAAAUUAUGAAUACUU